rnacentral:rRNA from 2 species
GGAUGCGAUCAUACCAGCACUAAAGGACCGGAUCCCAUCAGAACUCCGAAGUGAAGCGUGCUUGGGCGAGAGUAGUACUAGGAUGGGUGACCUCCUGGGAAGUCCUCGUGUUGCAUUCC